UCCGACCUUGUAUGGCAUCUUUCUGAACUCCCUCGACCGUCCGAGCUUCCAUAAUACCAUCCGGACGUCUCUGAUAAUGAGCUCCCUUAUUCAUCUACCGAACUGCUCCAAAUGCUCUCUGGGCUUCAUUAUCAGUUGAUUUUCUACAGUGAUCGACCAUUCUUCGAAUCUCUUUCAGACUUCUUCUGGCCACGAAUGACUUUACUCCGAACUUCUUUCGAACUUCGUCAAUGUCCGAGCUACUCCAACAGCAGGAUUUCUACAAUAACCAGACCCCAUCCGAAUUUCUACGGCAGUCGACCGCCUUUCAAAUUUUAUCCGAGCUCCUACAAGAAUCGGAUCUCUACCCCAAAUUUUUAUUGCAAGUAGACUCCAUCUGAACUUCUACAGUGGAUGGAUCACAGACGAACUCCUACAACGGACGGGCUCCACCAGCC
rnacentral:lncRNA from 1 species